AGUUCCGUGGAGUAGCGGCUUAUCUCGUAGCACUGUCACUGCUAAGAUCGCGGGUUCGAAUCCCGUCGGAACUG
rnacentral:tRNA from 1 species